UAGGGAAUAUUGCUCAAUGGGAGAAAUCCUGAAGCAGCAACGCCGCGUGGAGGAUGAAGGGUCUAUGACUUGUAAACUCCUGUAAAGAAGGAAAAAAUUCCCAUUAGAUGGGAGAUGAUGGUACUUCUGGAGUAAGCACCGGCUAACUACGUGCCAGCAGCCGCGGUAAUACGUAGGGGGCAAGCGUUGUCCGGAUUUACUGGGUGUAAAGGGUGCUCAGGCGGAUUUGUAAGUCAGAGGUGAAAUCUUACAGCUUAACUGUGAAACUGCCUUUGAUACUGCAAGCCUAGAGUAUGGAAGAGAGUGAUGGAAUAUCUGGUGUAGCAGUGAAAUGCGUAGAUAUCAGAUAGAACACCAAUGGCGAAGGCAGUCACUUGGUCCAUUACUGACGCUAAAGCACGAAAGCGUGGGUAGCAAACA
rnacentral:rRNA from 1 species